rnacentral:rRNA from 1 species
UACGGGAGGCAGCAGUGGGGAAUAUUGCACAAUGGGCGCAAGCCUGAUGCAGCCAUGCCGCGUGUAUGAAGAAGGCCUUCGGGUUGUAAAGUACUUUCAGUCGUGAGGAAGGUGUUAAGGUUAAUAACCUUAGCAAUUGACGUUAGCGACAGAAGAAGCACCGGCUAACUCCGUGCCAGCAGCCGCGGUAAUACGGAGGGUGCGAGCGUUAAUCGGAAUUACUGGGCGUAAAGGGCACGCAGGCGGUUAAUUAAGUUGGAUGUGAAAUCCCCGGGCUUAAUCUGGGAAUGGCAUUCAAGACUGGUUAGCUAGAGUCUUGUAGAGGGGGUAGAAUUCCAUGUGUAGCGGUGAAAUGCGUAGAGAUGUGGAGGAAUACCGGUGGCGAAGGCGGCCCCUGGACAAAGACUGACGCUCAUGUGCGAAAGCGUGGGGAGCAAACAGGAUUAGAUACC